CCUACGGGUGGCAGCAGUGGGGAAUAUUGCACAAUGGGGGAAACCCUGAUGCAGCGACGCCGCGUGAGUGAAGAAGUAUCUCGGUACGUAAAGCUCUAUCAGCAGGGAAGAAAAUGACGGUACCUGACUAAGAAGCCCCGGCUAACUACGUGCCAGCAGCCGAGGCAAUACGGAGGGGGCAAGCGUUAUCCGGAUUUACUGGGCGUAAAGGGAGCGUAGGCGGCAGCACAAGUCUGGAGUGAAAUCCCGGGGGUUAACCCCGGGACUGCUUUGGAAACUGGGCGGCUGGAGUGCAGGAGGGGUAAGCGGAAUUCGUAGUGUAGCGGUGAAAUGCGUAGAUAUUAGGAGGAACACCGGUGGCGAAGGCGGCUUACUGGACUGUAACUGACGUUGAGGCUCGAAAGCGUGGGGAGCGAACAGGAUUAGAUACCCGUGUAGUC
rnacentral:rRNA from 1 species